AUUGAACGCUGGCGGCAGGCCUAACACAUGCAAGUCGAGCGAGCGGCGGACGGGUGAGUAAUGUCUGGGAAACUGCCCGAUGGAGGGGGAUAACUACUGGAAACGGUAGCUCAUACCGCAUACCAUCAGAUGUGCCCAGAUGGGAUUAGCUAGUAGGUGGGGUAACGGCUCACCUCGGCGACGAUCCCUAGCUGGUCUGCGAGGAUGACCAGCCACACUGGAACGGAGACACGGUCCAGACUCCUACGGGAGGCAGCAGUGGGGAAUAUUGCACAAUGGGGGCAAGCCUGAUGCAGCCAUGCCGCGUGUAGGAAGAAGGCCUUCGGGUUGUAAAGCACUUUCAGCGAGGAGGCGUUACCCGCAGAAGAAGCACCGGCUAACUCCGUGCCAGCCGCCGCGGUAAUAC
rnacentral:rRNA from 1 species